rnacentral:rRNA from 1 species
UACGAAGGGGGCGAGCGUUGUUCGGAAUUACUGGGCGUAAAGCGUAUGCAGGCGGAUCGUUAAGUCGGGGGUGAAAUCCCGAGGCUCAACCUCGGAACUGCCUUCGAUACUGGCGACCUUCGAGUCCGGGAGAGGUGAGUGGAACUCCGAGUGUAGAGGUGAAAUUCGUAGAUAUUCGGAAGAACACCAGUGGCGAAGGCGGCUCACUGGCCCGGUACGGACGCUGAGAUACGAAAGCGUGGGGAGCAAACAGG